rnacentral:rRNA from 1 species
CCUACGGGUCGCACCAGUGGGGAAUAUUGCACAAUGGGCGCAAGCCUGAUGCAGCCAUGCCGCGUGUAUGAAGAAGGCCUUCGGGUUGUAAGGUACUUUCAGCGAGGAGGAAGGCAUUAAGGUUAAUAACCCUAGUGAUUGACGUUACUCGCAGAAGAAGCACCGGCUAACUCCGUGCAAGCAGCCGCGGUAAUACGGAGGGUGCAAGCGUUAAUCGGAAUUACUGGGCGUAAAGCGCACGCAGGCGGUCAGUCAAGUCAGAUGUGAAAUCCCCGGGCUCAACCUGGGAACUGCAUUCGAAACUGACAGGCUAGAGUCUUGUAGAGGGGGGUAGAAUUCCAGGUGUAGCGGUGAAAUGCGUAGAGAUCUGGAGGAAUACCGGUGGCGAAGGCGGCCCCCUGGACAAAGACUGACGCUCAGGUGCGAAAGCGUGGGGAGCAAACAGGAUUAGAUACCCCAGUAGUC